CAUCCUACGGGGGGCAGCAGUGGGGAAUAUUGCACAAUGGGGGGAACCCUGAUGCAGCGACGCCGCGUGAGUGAAGAAGUAUUUCGGUAUGUAAAGCUCUAUCAGCAGGGAAGAUAAUGACGGUACCUGACUAAGAAGCCCCGGCUAACUACGUGCCAGCAGCCGCGGUAAUACGUAGGGGGCAAGCGUUAUCCGGAUUUACUGGGUGUAAAGGGAGCGCAGGCGGUACGGCAAGUCUGAUGUGAAAGCCCGGGGCUCAACCCCGGUACUGCAUUGGAAACUACCGGACUGGGGUGUCGGAGGGG
rnacentral:rRNA from 1 species